UUGUGUGCGGUCGGUUACAGAGAAAAUGCGAUGCAGAGAAAAUGUUUUCAUCUUCCUGGAAAGGGGCUGCAAAAUGUAAGACGCGAAUCGCGAGCGAGUUCAGUUGAGUAGCUCUGCAACAAUGGUGGAUUACUUUGCGAUGCACCUACUUACUGCUGCUCAGCGACGACACGAAAGCCCUCUCUCCCUGUCUGGUGCCUGUAAAUAAUUGUAAACCGAAGAAAAUAAUGGUGUACAGUGCAGCAAAAUUGAACGAAAAAUUGCAAGCUGCUUUAUGCAAUGGAAUUUGUUGAUUGAUGUGUACCUAUGUGUAAAAAUACCUAUGUGUUAUUGAAUUACCGACUGCAGUUCGAAGCUGAAUGUUUUGAGGACCCUCUAACUAAGGACUAUUAGAACCACUCAGGAACGCUAGCGAAGAAUACAUACGUGAAACAAUCGAGGCAAUUUCGCACCAAGAGAUCCAGGAAUUCCGUAACCAAUUGCUUCCAAUUGAGAUCACCUAGAAAAAGUGUAAAGUUUGAUAUCCCAAGGGAUGUGGUGUUAACAAGAUGAAGUUGGGAAAAAUGAUUUGCUAUGGGGUGGUGAUAGUAUGCAAUGAGCAAUUGCCUCGACCGGUGGUGGUCAUCAGAAGUGAAGCAUUGUUUUAUUACUAAAUUGUCACCGGUGAUAAUCGUGAGCU